AGAGUUUGAUCCUGGCUCAGAACGAACGCUGGCGGCAGGCUUAACACAUGCAAGUCGAGCGCCCAGCAAUGGGAGCGGCGGACGGGUGAGUAACACGUGGGAAUAUGCCUUUCGGUACGGAACAACUCAGGGAAACUUGAGCUAAUGCCGUAUGCGCCCUUACGGGGAAAGAUUUAUCGCCGAAAGAUUAGCCCGCGUUGGAUUAGCUAGUUGGUGGGGUAACGGCCUACCAAGGCAACGAUCCAUAGCUGGUUUGAGAGAACGACCAGCCACACUGGGACUGAGACACGGCCCAGACUCCUACGGGAGGCAGCAGUGGGGAAUCUUGGACAAUGGGGGAAACCCUGAUCCAGCCAUGCCGCGUGAGUGAUGAAGGCCUUCGGGUUGUAAAACUCUUUUACCUGGGAAGAUAAUGACUGUACCAGGAGAAUAAGCCCCGGCUAACUUCGUGCCAGCAGCCGCGGUAAUACGAAGGGGGCUAGCGUUGUUCGGAAUUACUGGGCGUAAAGCGUGCGCAGGCGGCUUCUCAAGUCAGGGGUGAAAGCCCAGAGCUCAACUCUGGAAUUGCCUUUGAAACUGUGAAGCUUGAGUACGAGAGAGGUAAGUGGAAUUCCCAGUGUAGAGGUGAAAUUCGUAGAUAUUGGGAAGAACACCGGUGGCGAAGGCGGCUUACUGGCUCGUAACUGACGCUCAUGCACGACAGCGUGGGGAUCAAACAGGAUUAGAUACCCUAGUAGUCC
rnacentral:rRNA from 1 species